ensembl:lncRNA
GCUUACUCCGGACGGUCACCCGGCCUCCCGGCCGCUCGGGGGUUGCCGGGGGACGGCUAGCGGGAGCGGACGCACCGGCUACGGGGGCGGGCUGGCUAGCUACAGCGGCUAACGACGGAGCUUCCGCGGCGCGGAGCCGCGCUUCUAGCUCACUAAGCCUCGCCUCCAAUUCAUCAAAUAUACUACACUUCUUACAUGUACCAUUAUCCGUAAGGGAGGCAGAGGAAUAGCUAAACAUGUGACACACCGAGCAAGAAAGAGCAGGAGAGGCAGGGAGGGAAGACAUCGCCAGGUUAGCUGCUAAGCUAAUGCUAACGCUAAUAGAACUAUUCGAUGGAGAAUUCCCAUACUUAAUACGUCAUCAUUCACACGCUGGUAGCAGCUACCAUCAGUGAUUAACAUACAGAACGUGCCCGUCUAUCGGCUGAAUUUGUCUGGGCUGGACUCCGCGAUAAGCGGGUUUUCCAUUGGAUGGGUGGAACGCGCUCGUUUGUCGUGGGCGGAGCUUGUGCCAAAAUCUUUGGCAGAAAAAUAUUUAGCAGGAUCCGUCAUUCGGUCCCCCAUCCGUCGAGUCCAACGAGUGCAUGAUGUUCGUGAUAGCUUUACGUCUCCUGACUAUGUUCCAGUUGGCGGACCUGGUCACAGGUCCAACCAACUUUUCUUCACUUGGUGACGUAGUGUCCAAUCCUCACUGACCAAUGUGAGAACGCUCACCAAACUCCGUCGUGACCGAGUUCGGACUGCCUCACUAUCCACUGUGAGGCUCCAGCGUAGUUUCACCGACAUCCGCUACCAAUCCCCGCUACCGGUCACCGUCCUCCGCCGCCGAUCCCCGCUACCGGUCACCGUCCUCCGCCGCCGAUCUCCGCUACCGGUCACCGUCCUCCGCCGCCGAUCUCCGCUACCGGUCACCGUCCUCCGCCCGUGGCUGCGUGGUUUGCUCCACAGUCCAAUGUGAGACGCGCUGCGCCCGUAGAAUACGACUAACGCUACAUCCAAAGCACGCGACAGCGUUUCCAUUCAGCCGAUCGCCGUCGAAGACAAGGUGCUCAGACAGCACAAGGAUCGUGCCGUCUAAACUUGAUCGGUCUUUUUCUCAUACUGAGCCAAACUUUUGACUAAUUGUUGGCGCACAUUUAAGUUGUUUUGUACUCGUGUUUUCCGGCGAAUUGUUUGUGGCUUAAACUAAAAAUAACUUACUUUCAAACUUCUGAACUUAACAUCGGAUAUGUCAAUCCAUUUAUUUAUAACAAAAAUAACAAACAAUUCGGUUCCCAAUCCGCCGUGCCUCACGGUCAAAAGUUAUCUGCCUCGCUGUGCGCCACACCUGCACUAAUUAGCCCUGGUGUUAAAUAGGCUGGUGGCAAAAACAGCGCCAUCCCAUUGCAGUAUUCAGAAUGGCUCCAACAACUAUGACUGUACUAUUCUGAAGACGUCGAGGUUGUGAUGAGGUCUACGUGAGAAGACAUUUAAAUGAUUGCAUUUCCAAAUAUAUUUACAAUAAAGACAACUCUGAUACUGAUCUUAUUCCUAAAAAAACUAACGAUGCCUUUAUUGUAAGCUAUCGAGAUGCAAACUUUAUACGAGGAUGACAGAGCACAGACUCCCGUCACCUCAGUGUGUAUCACGGCACACUUUAAUUCAAGUUGAAACGAUUAACAAACAGCUGGAGACAAAAAACAGUGUAACCAACAAUAUAUAAUCAGCUGAAGUGUGAACAUGUGAAAGAAGUACACAUUAUUUCGGCCACAUAUUGUUAAAGGUGAAAGUGUGUCUUUGUCUAUCUGUCUCUCUCUCUCUCUGUGUGUCUCUCUCUCUCUCUGUGUCUCUCUCUCUCUCUGUGUCUCUCUCUCUCUCUGUGUCUCUCUGUGUGUCUGUCUCUCUCUCUCUCUCUCUCUCUGUGUGUCUGUCUCUCUCUCUCUCUCUGUGUGUCUGUCUCUCUCUCUCUCUCUGUGUGUCUGUCUCUCUCUCUCUCUCUGUGUGUCUGUCUCUCUCUCUCUCUCUGUGUGUCUGUCUCUCUCUCUCUCUCUGUGUGUCUGUCUCUCUCUCUCCCUCUCUGUGUGU